rnacentral:tRNA from 1 species
GUAGGCAUAGUUUAACAAAAACAUUAGAUUGUGAUUCUAAAAACAGGGGUGGAAGCCCCCUUGCCCACC